rnacentral:rRNA from 1 species
CCUACGGGAGGCUGCAGUGAGGAAUAUUGGUCAAUGGGCGCGAGCCUGGACCAGCCAAGUAGCGUGAAGGAUGACUGCCCUACGGGUUGUAAACUUCUUUUAUAAAGGAGUAAAGUGAGGCACGUGUGCCUUUUUGUAUGUACUUUAUGAAUAAGGCUCGGCUAACUCCGUUCCAGCAGCCGCGGUAAUACGGAGGAUCCGAGCGUUAUCCGGAUUUAUUGGGGUUAAAGGGAGCGUAGAUGGGUUUUUAAGUCAGUUGUGAAAGUUUGCGGCUCAACCGUAAAAUUGCAAUUGAUACUGGCAGCCUUGAGUACAGUUGAGGUAGGCGGAAUUCGUGGUGUAGCGGUGAAAUGCUUAGAUAUCACGAAGAACUCCGAUUGCGAAGGCAGCUUACUAAACUGCCACUGACAUUGAUGCUCGAAAGUGUGGGUAUCAAACAGGAUUAGAUACCCCAGUAGUC